rnacentral:rRNA from 1 species
UACGGGGGGGGCAAGCGUUGUUCGGAAUUACUGGGCGUAAAGGGCUCGUAGGCGGCCAACUAAGUCAUACGUGAAAUCCCUCGGCUUAACCGGGGAACUGCGUCUGAUACUGGAUGGCUUGAGUUCGGGAGAGGGAUGCGGAAUUCCAGGUGUAGCGGUGAAAUUCGUAGAUAUUGGGAAGAACACCGAUGGCGAAGGCAGCGAUCUGGACCGACACUGACGCUGAGGCGCGAAAGCGUGGGGAGCAAACAGG